rnacentral:lncRNA from 1 species
UGGCAUCUCUCGAAACCUCCUCGACCGUCCGAGCUUCCGGACUUCUCCAACAAUGAGCUUCUCCAUUCAUCUACUGGGCCGCUCCUAAGGCCGCUCCAAAGGCUCUCUAGGCUUCACUAUCAGCCGACCUUCUACAGUGAUCAACUAUUCUCCGAAUCCCUUCCAGACUUCUUCCGACCGUGGAUGACCCUACUCCGAACUUCUUCCAGACUUCGUCAAUAUCCGAGCUUCUCC